UACGGAGGAUCCGAGCGUUAUCCGGAUUUAUUGGGUUUAAAGGGUGCGUAGGUGGAUUGGUAAGUCAGUGGUGAAAGUUUGCAGCUUAACUGUAAAAUUGCCGUUGAAACUGCCGGUCUUGAGUGCAAAUGAGGUAGGCGGAAUGCGUCGUGUAGCGGUGAAAUGCUUAGAUAUGACGCAGAACUCCGAUUGCGCAGGCAGCUUACUAAACUACUACUGACGCCCAGGCACGAAGGCGUGGGGAUCAAACAGGAUUAGAUACCCCCGUAGU
rnacentral:rRNA from 1 species